UUCCAGGAUAUUCAUUGUUUCGACCUAGCAAUGCUGGCAAAACAAGCGUGGCGUAUUAUUGAGAAUCAAGACUCCUUAUGUACGACCGUGUUGAGAGCUAAAUAUUUCCCAAACGGUGAUUUAUUGAAUACAAAGCUAACAAAGGGCUUUUCUUUUACUUGGCAAAAUAUUACGGCAGGGGUUAAUUGUCUAAAUCUUGGUUAUAUUUGGCGUGUUGGAAAUGGUCACAACAUUGAUAUUUGGGAAGAUGCUUGGAUUUCUAAUUGUGCAAAUAAAAAAGUAAUCACACCCGAGAGGGUCAUCUCAAGGGUAUCUGAUUUAAUUGAUCCUGCUACUAGUAAUUGGGACGAAAAUUUGGUCGCACAAAUGUUCUGGCCAGUUGAUGCACAAAGGGUCCUUGCAAUUCCUUUGUCACAACACGAUAUGUCGGAUUUUGUCGCUUGGAGCUAUUCAAAGAAUGGAACUUUUUCUGUUCGAUCAGCCUAUGCAGUGCAAUGGGAACACCAACACGGGGGAAAAUUAAGAAGAACCGAUGAUAUGGGACAUAUGACUAUCAAUCCUAUUUGGAGUGAGAUUUGGAAAUUAUCUUGUCCAUCAAAGCUUAAAAUUUUCAUUUGGCGCACGCUGCAUGGCACCCUCCCGUGUAGAGUUAAUUUGACGAAUAGACAUAUAAAGGUUACCCCCAAUUUGUCCGUAUGUUCCUUUAGAUCAGAGGAUACAAAAGCAUAUAUUAUUUCAGUGUCAGAAAGCAAAGGAGGUUUGGAAAAAACUGGGUCUAGAUCAGGUCAUUAA
rnacentral:rRNA from 1 species